rnacentral:ncRNA from 1 species
AGUCUUCAGGGCGAGGUGUAAUUCCUCACUGGCGGUACAGUCCGCGAACUGCCUCAGGGCAGCCGAACCGGUGUGACUCCGGUACCAACGGUAUAGUCCGGAUGGAAGAAGAUG